CUAAUUUUAUAGAUAAUUUUGUAGAUUUUGAAUCAAAACUCAGUCCUGAUGACUUUAAAUUUUUUGUAGUCUACAAACUAGUUUCAUUAUGGUGGGCUUGAUUGAUUAGUCCAAAGUUGAUUUUAGAAAUUAUCAGGUAGCAUAUUGUCUUCCCUUCUUCAGGAGGCUUUCUGAUGGAUUGAGUCUGUAGAUGAAAAAGUUACUCAUGUGUGAAUAGCAUGUAUUUCUGAAGAGCUUAGAGUGCCUUGUAGAAUUUUUUUCUCAAUUUCAUUCUUGAGGUUAUAACGUGGGGGCCAAAUAGAUAGGGACUGUCCUUUUCUUAUAUGGAAGUUGAGGCUGUGACAUGUCCAAGGUUAAAAAGUCAAUUUGGGAAGAACAGCAACCGGGUCUCCAAAUCUGGACUCACGGUUUGUCCAGGAAUGUCUGGACAAAUGGUUUGUCCAUGUUUUGCCCUAUUCUCAAAGGAACUGUUCUGCCUUUGAGAUAACCUUUUGGUAUUUGAGAAAGUAAUAGGAUCUUGGUUUUUCCAAAUUGGCAUUAAAUUGUCGGGAUUAAAAUUUUCUUUGACCCUGAACAUAUUGCCGUGUUAAUUCAGCAGUGAGAAUUGACAUACUGGCUGGGCAGCCUUCCUAUCUCUUCUGUAUACAGGAUAAAUGAAUAGGAGGUGUUUAUGUGGAUCUUUUCCCCCUUUAUUUAACAUUUAGUUUUAUAGUUUGGAGUAUUAGAGUCCCCCCCACCUUCUCUCUGCUGUUGUCUUAGUAAGAUUCAUAAAGUAUUAUAUAUCAUCUUGGGUCUAUUUGUGUGUAUAUAGCAGUAGGUCAAGUUUAGAGUACUAAUGUCUGUAAAUAAGGAAUGACUAUUAUCAUAUUCAUUAGAAUUGUUUAUUCUUGCCAGUAUAAACAUCACUUUAUUUAGACUGAAGUCCCUGAAGCUUGUCCUUUUUAUUGCUUCCCAGUAAUAGAUAAUGUGCUUGAGUAAGUAUGUGAAUUGCGGAUUGCAGCUUCAUUUCAGGGGCCAAACUUCAGUGUGUAUUUCAUUAGAGUGAUUCUUCCUGGAAUGAUACAUGGACUGUCUUAAGCUAGCAGAAUGUUCAUACUUUCUACAUUGACAAAAUGUGUCCUAAAUGAUGGCAUUGAUCUCCAGACAUUAAUGUGUAUGUUUUUAUAUUAGCUGAAGCUAAGGUUCAGAAUUGAAUUAAAAGAGUGAUAUUGACUAAAAUAGUAGCUAAAGGUCAAAAUGAGGUGAGGUCAUUGGUCUUCAAAGGUAAAGGAAAAUACUGUCUUAGCAGUUGUUGAUGGUAUCCCCAGUUCUUGGAUUCUUGUCUUCUCAGGCCAUUUUAGUCUGAAGAUCUGCUGAGAAGGGCUUAUUACAUUGGUAUGUAGAAUGAUUAUUGGCUCUUUAUGGGACCUCUGUUUUUCCUGGUCAUCUAAGAAUAUUCUGUCCUGCCACCCAAGAGAGUAAACAAUUGAGCCAAUCUCUUCUUUUCCAGCUGUUCUUUCCCUGAGGAGGUUAUCUCUUUUUGUCUUUAGAUUAGAAUAGCAUCAAGCAGUACCAGUGGUGCUGUGUCCUUUGGCCUAAAUUCAAUAGCUCUCAUCUCCCAGGGCUUCCUUUUCACUUGGCUCAAAGGAUCCAUUGUCUUUUUGCCCAAAGAGGCUGGCCAGGGUCACGUAGCCAUAGCUAUUAGGGAUGAUACCCAAGAAAUGAGCAGGGACCCAUCCUCUGCGAAAAACGUCACAGUUGAAGACUUGAAUUGGGACAGUUGUUAUUCAGUUGUCUACCUUGAGGCUGAGCAAGGGGUUAAAAGUCUUGUCAGGGCAAUUAGUCUUUUAGUUUCUAUAUUUGCAGCCCGAGGCUUUUUUCUCUGUCCAGAUACAUGGAUCUGCCCUGUCUCUUUGAACACAUUUAGUGUAGUCUAGGGGUUAUUUACCACCAGAUAAACCGGCUGUGUUGUUAGCUAUAGAAGGUUAGGUCCUUUGGUGUUCCCACUUGGCAGCGUUAGGCUUACUCAGCCCCUUGUUCUUUACUCCUGUCUCAUUUUCAUCUGAGGUGUGAUGACUAGAAAGGAACCACGUGGGUAUCCAGUGGUGACACCUCACCAAUCCCUAGGUUUGGGUUGAGAAAAGAUGUAUACAAGACCAUUCCUGUUAAAUUAUGUGACUACAGUGACUUGCCAGGCCAAAAUUUUCCCAGGGAAUCAGAAAAACUGAUAUGCUGAUAUGAACCUGGAUGAUACAGACAUUAAUAAGUUGUUAAAAGACAAACUUAGCUUAAAAUCCACAGAUGUAGAAUCAUACUAAUUGGGUUCUAGAACUUGAAGCAUCUUAGCUCUCAGCUAGUUUAAACCCCUCCGCCAUUAUAAAUUAGGGUAUCAGUGAAUAAGAUCCAGCUUGUUAAACCCUGGUUUGAUGUUAAGUAUUGUAAAGUACAAAUCUUUUAACACAUUAGACGUUAAAAAUGGCUAUUUGAUAGUAAUAAUUUAGUAGAAAAAUGCUUUUAGGGUUUAGUAUCCGUAAGAUUUUCAUUAGCCUGGUGCUAGGUUGCUGAAGUCAUUUCAAUGUUGAUAUCAGGCUGAGCAGACUUUACAAAUGGGGUACGUUUCUCUGUGUGUAUACCCACUUCCCAUUCAGAGAGACUGGUCUUUCUCUUUGUCUCCUUCACAUUCCUGCUUUUUUAGUUCUUCACCUAUUUCUUUCAACACUCACCAGAUUCCUAUUUUGAUCUUUAGUCAGCUUGGUUCACUUUCAGGCAUAUCGUUGUUUGCGAGAGUGCCGUUUUGCCCCAGUAUUGAGGACUUAGAUCUAAAUAAUGAUUCUUUAUAUGCAGUUUAAAUACACUAAGUUUCUUUUAGCUUAAAAUGUUAAUUCUUGAGGAUGAAUUUCUCAGACUUUGUGUUACCUAAUAUUAAAAGCACUAAUAAUUCAUCAGUAUCUUAUUCUCAGAACUCUGUUUUCAGGCAUGAUGGAGAGAGCAAUAGUGAAAAUUCAUACUAGUCCCUUUGGAAUGAUGGUGCCAGAGUGCAGAGAGGCGAAGGAGUUUGUUUUGAAGCCAAAAGAACUUGUUCCUGUAGUAAGUAAGGGGAGUACCAUAUAUAAUCUGAGGCUGUUGACUUAAACCAAUAACCUUACCUUGUGUAACCACUCUUAAAUUUGGUUACCUGGAUUCACAGCAUGUUUGAAAUGAGGGAUGAUCGAAUAAAGUAAACAGCUGGAGAGCAAGUCAAGAUAAAGCACAGUGGUCUCAGAUUCUUCUUCGUGUAGGAGCAGUGGUUUUGCUGUCCUCAGAAAAGCACUGUACCGUAAUUGUUGCUCAUAAUAGUGAAGCCCUCCCCUCUUCAAGAUGGUUUACGUUCAGUGAACUCUGCAAUAAGGGAAAUACAUAUUACAGUGAUUAUUUAACAAUAGCACAAGUUGACAGUAGAGAUCCACAACCUAAUUUAUCUUGGUAAAUUCACUCUGUUCUCUAGUGCUGCUGGAUGAAGAAGUGUUAGAGUGUUUACUUUUUUUAUUGCUUUUGGACAAGCUAGUCUAGAUAAUUUUUAAAGUUAUCAGUGUAGCUUAGACUUCUGUAAGUGGAAUGUUUGUUAAUAACUCACACUUUUGUUGUAAUAAAUGGAAACUGAACUAGGCUUAUUGCUAUUAUUGAAAUUCCAAAUUGACAAAGGCCAAUAUAUAUGGUAUUCCAUACUAUAACCAGCUUUUGAAAUUUAUACGUUUGAAUUAGUGCCUUCUGGUUGCCAGUAUUGACUCUGCUAGUUUGCACCUUUCCCUUUCUUGUUAUUUCUCUUCUUAAUUUUUGUUAUAACUAAUGAAGGAAGUUAAAAAAAAAACCAUUAUAUUUACAUCCUUUAUAUGUGGCCUUUAGGUUCAGUGAAACCAGGUAGCUCUAUAUUCGUGUUGCAGCCUAAAUGUUAUUUAUUUGUCUUUGUUUCUUAUAUAUCCAUAAUAAAAUUUUUACUUGUAUUCUGUGAUAUUAUUUUAAUUUUGUUGUUUUUCCACUGUAGGUUUGGUAGGUGUAUCUGAGAACAGAUGAGUGACAACAGUUUAUAUUCCAUGACAGAAAAAGCUAAAGUCCACAGAAAGCACAAAAUUGUGUUCACACAUGCAUGUAUCUACACGUAGAAAGCACAAAAGUAGUAGUAUUCUCAUUAUCCCACAAGUGCCAGCCAUAAAGCCUAGCAAGGUGUUUGUCUCAGAGUUGUUACGAGGAUACAGUUUUGAAAGCCCAAGACAACAUGGUAUCUAAGUUUUGGGUCCUAAAUGUUCAGAGUAAUAAUUUGGUGGAGGGAGAGAAUACAAAUGUCAAUGCUGCAAUUGUAUUUUGGGAUUACUAGCUAAAAUGGGGUCUGUGGGCUCUUUUCCACAAUCUGGAGCUAAAGAAACAGGGAUAGAUGCCUUGGUUUUUGGAGAGUGGAACAGGUGACACACUUUUGCUUUAAGCUGUAGAGUCAAUUGGAGUUGUUUUUUUUAAAUCUUAAAUCCUUAGGAAAUGUUAUCUCUCAUCAACAAUGCCCCCAAAACAUGGACAAAUUCACACUUUAAUAGGGCAAAUAUUAAUACCACUUGUCAUUAAUUUUUGUGUAGGUUUGUAUGUGAGAGAUGAAGUUACCUUUUUUGUCCCUGUAUGCUUGACUGCUUCAUUUUAAUAGAGGAGAAUUUGGUCCAAGUGUUCUGAGCAUCAAACUAAUUCUGAAACAGAUUUGCCAAAUGAACUACUUUGCCUUUCACAGUGGCACUAGGAGUCUAAAGGAUUCUUUUACUUGUGCCAUUACUCUCCAAGACUAGAUGAGAUGAAAUCUGUGAAUGUGUGUGCAAAAGAAGAGAAUAGUGUGUUUUUUCUUCCAGUUGGCAUGGCACUUGUCCUACCCCUCACUUCCUCUGAAGAGUCUCUGUUACCAAGCAUGAAUAAAUAUCUUUGUCUUAAAUUUUGCCCAUCUAUCAAAAGAUAGAAUUCAUAGAAUGGAAGAGAAAUGACUACCUUUGUUCCUACUCUUUUCUAUUUUGUAUAUUUAUCUUUUUAGGGAAAGACUUUGUCAACUCUAAAAUGUCUAAAACGAAGAUUAUAGCUGGUGUAGACUAAUGUGGUAUGUUUUAGAAGAGUUAACCUGAACAUUUUGAGGGAGAAAUUCCUUCCUCCAGCAAAAAACUAGCCAGGCGUGUACCUACAUUAUUUGAGAAUGUGAAACCUCAGCCUUAGGGGAAUGAGGGGAAAGAGGAGUGCCAGAAAUGCAGGAUAAAGAAGAAGUUUGAGGAACAUCUUGGCUUAGCAAUAUGUGAUAAUGCAGAGCAGUUAUAACCUGUUAAUCUCAUAUAUUAUGUAUUCUGUACCUUUAAAUGUUUUUAAAUUUAAAAUAGUUUGUAAGAACUUUAAGAAAGAUUGCUUUCUUAAGGUAUUUGGCAGAAAUACCUUUCAUUUAUAAUUCCAUGGAAAAUGCUUUAAUUAGCCUAGGUGAAAAGUAGUCCUAGCAGUGUAAAUAUGUAUAAUUAGAAUUUUCUAAUUUCACUGUGAGAUCUCUAACUCUUGAGUGGCAAACAGAUCAAGUCUUUUGCUCCUGGACUUUUCUGUGGGGUUGUUAAAAUGCAAAAGCUUUAUUUUUUUUAAUAAUGACAUAUUACGUUAGUGUCAGAUAAUGGUAUGGAAUCUGUUCCCUGCUUCCCCACCGUAUUGCUUCAGUUUAUAGAUUGCCAGCAGAGUUCAUAAAUAGAGCAGGGAUUUACCCAUUCUUUGUGUGGACAUCCCAUUUUCUGUUGUCCAGACCUAUGUUGGCAAUCACAUAUGAACUGUGUUAUGCUUCUCAGUGCUUUUUUUUCUUUUUUGAUAAGAUGGAUAUCAAAAAUAGUUGCUGUGCAAAAGUUAGUAGUCUUCUUCAAGAAGAAAACCAAUUCCUUUUCUAAUAAUAUCCUGUGAAAUUGCUUCAUUCAUUCAUUCAUUUUUAAGCCAAAUGUCAGCAGAAUACUGCUGCUUUUAUCUAGUAAUUUUGAUAUAUAAGUAUUAAUGCAUUUUUAAAGAUGUCUACAUAGAAAAAUGUUUUUCCCAGUGUCCUGCCUAUUAUGCUUUGUUCAGAUUUUCUGUAAGAGACCAGUCAGUGCACUGGGGGUGUGUAUUGUGUACCUGUAUCAUUUUAGUCUGUUAGACAUUGUAGACCAAAUGUGAUUAUAAAUGAAGUUGAUAAACAUUAAUUUUGUUAAUGGUGAGUUUUUUGAAUUGUAAACUGAUUUCAAUUUACUCUUUAUUGUCCACAGUUUUUUUAAUUUUAAGAUGUGACUAAUUGGAUCCAUCUCAUUGUACGAUGUUUUAGGUGCAAGCAGAAAGUAGAAUUUGAUGUAAACCAGGUUACUUCCAUAUCAAAAGGAAUAUGAUUGAAGUUGUAGAUUUAACAUUGUUAAUCAUUCAUGACAAUUCUAACUUGACUGUUCUAACCUACUGUGUACAAUCUGAUUUUUAAAAUUGUAGACAUGUAUGAUCUUGGUUUAAUGUGUUUUUAAAAGUGUUAUUGUUUAAAAGAAAUGAAAAAAAUGAGGCAUAUCUGCUAAAGAGCUGUCAGUUUUCAUUACUGACUCUGUAAAAUACACUGUUCUUUGUGUACUGUGUGUUAUUUUGCCAGCUGCUGCAUUAGCCUUCAGAAGUAUUUGGAAACUUAAGAUGAACUGCAUUUCUUGCAAAGUAUAUUCCUUUCUGUGGUAUUUUGUCCUGUAACUGAAGUACAGUAAUUAUUUUAUGGAAAUGUUAGCAAUUCUGUACCAACUUUGAAUAAAAUGAAAAAUUUA